rnacentral:rRNA from 1 species
CCUACGGGAGGCUGCAGUGAGGAAUAUUGGUCAAUGGACGCAAGUCUGAACCAGCCAUGCCGCGUGCAGGAUGACGGCUCUAUGAUUUGUAAACUGCGUUUGUACGAGGGUAAACCCCGAUACGUGUAUCGGGUUGAAAGUAUCGUACGAAUAAGGAUCGUCUAACUCCGUGCCAGCAGCCGCGGUAAUAUGGAGGAUCCGAGCGUUAUCAGGAUAUAUUGGGUUGAAAGGGUGCGUAGGCGGUUUGAUAAGUUAGAGGUGAAAUGUCGGGGCUCAACCCCGAAGCUGCCUCUAAUACUGUUGGACUUGAGAGUAGUAGCGGUAGGCGGAAUGUAUGGUGUAGCGGUGAAAUGCUUAGAGAUCAUGCAGAACUCCAGUUGCGAAGGCAGUUCACUGGACUGCAACUGACGCUGAGGCUCGAAAGUGUGGGUAUCAAACAGGAUUAGAUACCCGUGUAGUC